rnacentral:lncRNA from 1 species
GUGGCUGUGGCUAUUGAUUGACACAUUAAAUUCAUCCAUUGGCUGGGACAAUUUAGGUGAACGUUUGUAUGUAACGACCACUGCUCACUAUGUACUUUUUAAAGACACUUAAACUAUGGGGUCACCAAAGGUUCACAACACCUUAAUAAAGUAAUUCGAAAAAUUAAUCAGAAAUAACACGAUGUUUUGAUUUAUACUAAUUAUAUAAAUCAAAACAUAAAGGUUAUUCCUGAUUAAUUUUUCGAAUUAUUUUAUAAUUAAAGGCGUUAAGUAACCUUUGGUGACCCCACAGUUUAAAUGUCUAUCGUAGGUACGUCGUGAACAGUGGUCGUUACAGACAAACGUUCACGUAAAUUGUCCCAGUCAAUGGAUGAAUUUAAUGUGUCAAUCAAUGGCC